GUUUGUGAUUUUGGAUAGCGUUUUAGCGAAUUAUUGCGUGCUUUUAUUACUGUUAGAGUUAUAUGUCUCUGAAAAAUGACUUCAAGAAAGUUUUUUGUUGGUGUGGAGGCGGCUUUGGAGGAGUUUGAUCGGAUGUCCGACACUGAAACUUGCAGCGAGGCUAGCUAGCUUUGACUCGGUCAGAGAAGCUGCUUACAAACUGGGAGAAGACCCUGAUUUUGAUUUUAGCAUCCAGUGGUGAAGAAUGGGAGCCAGCAAGUCAGGAUACUUAUUUUGUGUGUGUGUGUGUGUGUGUGUGUGUGUGUGUGUGUGUGUAAAAUAAAAUGCAAGAACAGAACUUUGCCUUAUUUUGCUUAUUACAUGACAUGAGUUUUUUGAGGAAACUUGGAGACCUAAGACAUUCUGUCUCUUCAGGGAGAAGAGGCCGACCACCCAUUGAUGUUACCAGAGAACACAUUGAAUUUCUGCUGAAGCAAGGCCAUACAAUUUCAAAAACUGCUGAAAUACUGGGAUGCUCCUCAUCAUUUCUGUACAAGAAGUCAAAGUUGUUGGGUAUACCUGUUAGAAGUAUGCUGUCUGCAAUAGAUGAUGGUUAACUAGAACAACAUGUGAGGCAACUUCAGAGCCAAUAUCCUAAUUCUGGAAAUGAGUAAUUGGAGGUCUUUAUCUUUAGGCUGUAUUUAAUUCACAUUUGUGUGCUAUUGUUUUGUGAAUAUCAUGUCAAUUUAGAUAUUUUGACAAAUCUGAUGCAGAUGAUAAGAGCCCUGUGCACAAGGUGUGCUUGUUACACAGUCCAGGGUGUGUGAGAUGAUGACACGGGUCAAUCCUACUGCUGCUGCAAGGAGAUGGAGCCAGACAGUUGCAAGAUGUGUUUAUCAUGUACCUUACCCCAAUAGUUUGUGGCACAUUGAUAGGAACAUGCGUCUCAUAAGGUUAUUACCAUACUUGUCAUACUUUUUUUAUAUUUUGAAAAGAACUUCAGCAAGUAAAAAAAGUUUACAGCUAUAUUGUUUCCAGAAUACUGUCAAUAGCAUUAUAAUCUAGAUGGGGUUUUGUGAUUCAUGGUGCAAUUGAUGGAUACUCCCGUCUGAUUACUUACCUCAACUGCAGCACAGAAAAUCGUGCCACAACAGUGCUUUCUCAGUUUUUGAAAGCAACAUACCUCUAUGCCCUACCAUCAAGAGUCAGAUCUGACCAUGAUGGGACUUGAAGGACUUGAACACAGAGGUUUCAUAACCGGACGAUCAGUUCAUAAUCAGAGAAUUGAACGCCUCGGCGUGAUGUAUUUUUGCAUGUGUUGCAGCUCUUUUACCUUAUGUUCUACUCCUUAGAGGAUUCAGAGGUUCUAAACCCAGAUGAUGAUGUCCGCAGACUUUCACUGCAUAUUGUUUAUCUUCCUGAGAUUAAAAAAAGACUGGAGCAGUUUAGACAGGCCUGGGACCUCCAUCCAUUACGAACAGAAAAUAAUGGCACACCAUCUCAACUCUGGACAGAGGGCAUGCUCAAAAACAUUGCAACAGACAACACAGCUGUCAGCAAUGUGUUUGGGGAAAAUCCCUACAGCGACCAAAACAUUGAUGCCAUCCUAGCGCAGUAUGGAAUUCAAACACUGCCUACACUUGAUGAGGAAGAGUUCUCAGCUGUUAAUGUAGAGCCACCUCAACUCAUCAUCAAUCAAUCAAUCAAUCAAUCACCUUUAUUUAUAUAGUGCUUUAAACAA